UACGUAUGGUGCAAGCGUUAUCCGGAUUUACUGGGCGUAAAGGGAGCGCAGGCGGCGCGCCAAGUCUGAUGUGAAACCCCGGGGCUCAACCCCGGGCAUGCAUUGGAAACUGGCGGGCUGGUGUGCCGGAGAGGUAAGCGGAAUUCCUAGUGUAGCGGUGAAAUGCGUAGAUAUUAGGAGGAACACCAGUGGCGAAGGCGGCUUACUGGACGGCAACUGACGCUGAGGCUCGAAAGCGUGGGGAGCAAACAGG
rnacentral:rRNA from 1 species